GAACGCACAUUGCGCCCGCCAGUAUUCUGGCGGGCAUGCCUGUUCGAGCGUCAUUUCAACCAUCAAGCCCCCGGCUUGGUGUUGGGGAUCGGCACAGGCGCCCUCGGGCGCCCGCCGUCCCCUAAAUCUAGUGGCGGUCCCGCUGCAGCCUCCUCUGCGUAGUAGUUUUCUCCUCGCAAGGGCAGCUCGGUGGCGACCUCGCCGUAAAACCCCCAACUUCUGAAAGGUUGACCUCGAAUCAGGUAGGAAUACCCGCUGAACUUAAG
rnacentral:misc_RNA from 1 species